rnacentral:tRNA from 1 species
GGGGGUGUAGCUCAGUGGUAGAGCGCUCGCUUCGCAUGCGAGAUGUUUUGGGUUCGAAUCCCAACUCCUCCA